GGGAACGUGCCCUUUGGUUCGGAACAACUCAGGGAAACUUGAGCUAAUACCGGAUGUGCCCUUCGGGGGAAAGAUUUAUCGCCAUUGGAGCGGCCCGCGUCUGAUUAGCUAGUUGGUGAGGUAAAGGCUCACCAAGGCGACGAUCAGUAGCUGGUCUGAGAGGAUGAUCAGCCACAUUGGGACUGAGACACGGCCCAAACUCCUACGGGAGGCAGCAGUGGGGAAUCUUGCGCAAUGGGCGAAAGCCUGACGCAGCCAUGCCGCGUGAAUGAUGAAGGUCUUAGGAUUGUAAAAUUCUUUCACCGGGGACGAUAAUGACGGUACCCGGAGAAGAAGCCCCGGCUAACUUCGUGCCAGCAGCCGCGGUAAUACGAAGGGGGCUAGCGUUGCUCGGAAUUACUGGGCGUAAAGGGAGCGUAGGCGGACUGUCAAGUUAGAGGUGAAAGCCCAGGGCUCAACCUUGGAAUUGCCUUUGAUACUGGCAGUCUUGAGUACGGAAGAGGUAUGUGGAACUCCGAGUGUAGAGGUGAAAUUCGUAGAUAUUCGGAAGAACACCAGUGGCGAAGGCGACAUACUGGUCCGUUACUGACGCUGAGGCUCGAAAGCGUGGGGAGCAAACAGGAUUAGAUACCCUGGUAGUCCACGCCGUAAACGAUGAGUGCUAGUUGUCGGCAUGCAUGCAUGUCGGUGACGCAGCUAACGCAUUAAGCACUCCGCCUGGGGAGUACGGUCGCAAGAUCAAAACUCAAAGGAAUUGACGGGGGCCCGCACAAGCGGUGGAGCAUGUGGUUUAA
rnacentral:rRNA from 1 species